ensembl:lncRNA
CGGUCAUGUCAAUCAUUAAACUGCCUUUUUACGGACAGCGGCAUAAGCGCAAAUACAGAUAAUUCACAAAAAACAUUUUGUUUAACAAUAUUCACCUGAAUGGUUAACUGCAAAUAUGUACCUGCGGGAGUCCAACAUUUGGGAACAGAUCCUGACCAAACACCUAUUCAGAUUUGGUUAUCGGUUGUCCUCUGCCCCUCAACGCCCCCUUGAACCCCACCGCGCGAGGACUCCACGUUGGCCCGGCCGGAGGGGUUUGUGUGCUGGUGGCCUGUCAGCUCAGUCGUCCCCUGAUUAACAUCGAUCAGCCCUGUAAUGGCCGACCAGUCCCCAACUGUCCUGCUGAACUGAUAGAACUAUUGUUUCCGCAGUCUGAGGGAGGGGAAACUGACUCAUUAUCCCGAAGAGUGAUUUGAUGUGGGUCCACAAGCAUGACAAGAUGCUGUUGAAUGUGGUGGCGAGAUGGCCGGGGGGGAACGCACAACUCAUUCAUUCUGCAGAACAGCAACGUUGGCCUUGGCUUACAGGAGGGAGCUGUUCAGGAUGGCUGGCUCAUUGGAGACAGAGGUUAUCCAUUGAAACUGUGGCUGAUGACUCCUUUGACCAAUCCUGCGACGGCACAGGAGAGCGCCUAUAAUGCUGCACACCGUCGCAUAAGGUCGAUCGUGGAGCCCACAAUUGGAACUCUGUUUCGUCAUCUGCUGGGGGUGCUUUGCAGUAUAAACCGGAAGAGGCUUGCAACAUA